rnacentral:rRNA from 1 species
GACGAACGCUGGCGGCGUGCUUAACACAUGCAAGUCGAACGGAAAGGCCCUGCUUGCAGGGUGCUCGAGUGGCGAACGGGUGAGUAACACGUGGGUGAUCUGCUCCUUACUUUGGGAUAAGCCUGGGAAACUGGGUCUAAUACUGGAUAGGACCAUGCUGUAGGUGGUGUGGUGGAAAGAUUAGUUUCGGUAAGGGAUGAGCUCGCGGCCUAUCAGCUUGUUGGUGGGGUAAUGGCCUACCAAGGCGUCGACGGGUAGCCGGCCUGAGAGGGUGGACGGCCACAUUGGGACUGAGACACGGGCCAGACGCCUGCGGGAGGCAGCAGUGGGGAAUAGUGCACAAUGGGCGCAAGCCGGAUGCAGCGACGCCGCGUGGGGGAUGACGGCCUUCGAGUUGUGAGCUCCUUUCGGCCAUGACGAAGCCCUUGUGGUGACGGUAGUGGUAGAAGAAGCACCGGCUAACUACGUG